ACCUCUCCCUGGUUCGGGCCCUUGGGCAUUGCCAGAAUGCACAGAUGGUUAGUCCACCUUGUUUGGAAAAAAUCUAUUUUGACUGUAAAAUUUGCAAUUCCAUAGUUAAUUUCCAUUAAUUUUUUGCAGUUGAUCUGCAAAAAUAGCUAUCAAGUAGUCUAGUCUGGUAAUUAUUGCCCUAAAAUGUAUAUUUCUCUGUGAAUUCACAACAGUUGAUGGUUUCUUGAAUUGACCUGUUUGGUUUAUUUACUGAAUGCCAAAUAACAGCGAAUGAAAAAUUGAAUUGCAGAAUUUGGGUAAAACAGUAAAAUAUCCAAUUCAGCAAUAAUCACAGAUUGGCUAUAAUAGCCUGAAUAUUGUAAUCUGUAUUACAGUUUGCUUCUACAUCAAUACCCAUUGAGUAUUAUAUUCACCUUGGAUUAUAGAAUGACAAUGUUACAAACCAUUCUUCGCAAAGAUAAGAAAAGAUGUUUAUAAUUAUGAUUCACAGGUCUGUUAUCCAAAAAGAAAUUCUUUGCAACAAUGUCUAUCACUCAAUAGAAUCGUUUUCAUCUGUGCCUAUUGUUUGCUAUUGGAGCACACACUAGGUUUAUAUAAAUGAUCUGUGCCGAAGGUCAAUUAAGAGCAAAUUAUACUUUUUCUGAUAUAUUUAUUUUUAAAUAUUAUGUUUAAUUAAUUAAAUAGUCGUGAGGAAAAACAGGUGCUAAAAAAUAAGUAAGGUUAAAAAAAACGAAAUUUUGUUAAUUUCACAAAAUCUCACACUAGGAUAAACCAUUUAUCUAAAUGUAAUAACGGAAAUUUAGCACAUUAUUUGAAUUAUAGGAACAAUCAAAUAUGUGAUAGUGCCCUAGUCACCAUUGCCAGGGUUAAAAAGGUGAACUUACUUACCUUUUUCCCUUGUAUCGCGUGUCACUCUAACUCUUUAGAUGAGAUUAUCGAGAUUAAUGAUCUCAGCCAAUCCAAUGCUUUCCCAUAGGAAACAUUGGAAGGCUAGAGUGCUGAAUGAUAUACAACACCAUCUGAUUGAUAUAGUGGGGUAUUACUGCACUAUUUCAGUGGGAUCACUUCUAGUGGCUUUCAGUGGCCUCAUUGAGAUGAAGUGGUAUGAGUGCCUAUAGUGUUCCUUUAGCCAAUGAGUAUACAUGAAUCUUUUACAUGUGCAUAUAAACUGCCAACGUACCUUCAUAAAAUGAUGCUCUAUGUACUAUAACCAAAAUAAUUUAUUAUAAUGACUAUGGUGAAGUCAAGGAUUCACAGCCUGUCAUUGCUAUCCCAAUUUGCAGAGGAAGUUACACUCUUAAUUAUCUUUUUUGCGGUAGAGGGGCUUGGUAGCUUUGGGAACUGAGAAUGGCCAUUCCUUGUUAAAAUUGCUUGAAAACAGUUUGAUAAAAACUGCUGAAGCUAAAGACUCCAUGUGCCAUAGAAACAUAGAAUGUGUCGGCAGAUAAGAACCAUUCGGCCCAUCUAGUCUGCCCAAUUUUCUAAAUACUUUCAUUAGUCCCUGGCCUUAACUUAUAGUUAGGAUAGCCUCAUGCCUAUCCCACGCAUGCUUAAACUCCCUCACUGUGUUAAGCUCUACCACUUCAGCUGGAAGGCUAUUCCAUGCAUCCACUACCCUCUCAGUAAAGUAAUACUUCCUGAUAUUAUUUUUAAACCUUUGUCCCUCUAAUUUAAGACUAUGUCCUCUUGUUGUGGUAGUUUUUCUUCUUUUAAAUAUAGUCUCCUCCUUUACUGUGUUGAUUCCCUUUAGCCUGUACAAUAAGCUGUAGAAGUUAAGGAGCUUUAAAUACAGCCUUGUAAUCAUGUUAAAAAUGAAUCUUAAUCAACUGUUUGUAAAUCUCUAGGUGCUGGGUCGUGGAGGAUACAAGUUUCAAAACUGGGCCCAAACAUAUGGUUCUAGCCCAGAGCUUUACUUUCAACCCACAUCUGCAGAGGAAAUUAAAGAGGUAAGUGACAAUUAAUUGAUUAUAUUACUGUAUAAAAUAUAUACUUUCAGUCGAAAUCAUAUCCCAUUGGAAUAGAAACCUUGAAGUUGAUAGGUACCUUAGCCCCCCUCCAACCUCCCGCUCCCCUUACCCUCCUGAAUACAAUACAAUGUUAUUUUAAUUCCAGUCUACUGGUGCUGGCUUUGCCCCUGAUCUGCCCACUUGGCUUACAUCAUCAGAAGUGGUGGUCUGAGCCAAUCACAAUGCUUCCCCAUAGGUGCGGCUGAGACUGUCAAGGAGGCAGAUCAUGGGCAGAGUCAGCACAAAUCAAACACAACCUUGGCCAAUCAUCAUCACCUCAUUGAGAUAUAUUGAAGCAAUGCAUCUCUAUAAGGAAAGUUCAGCGUCUCCAUGCAGAGGGUGGAGACGCUGAAUGUCAGUCACACUGUGCAGCACUGCCCCAGGAAGCACCUCUAGCAGCCAUCUUAAGGAGUGUCUAGUGGAGGUAUCCCUACGCUGUAGUAUAAAUACUGCAUUUUCUCUGAAAAAACUGUGUUUACUGCAAAAAGCCUGAAGGGACUGAUUAUAUUCACCAGAACAAAUACAAUAAACUGUAGUGUUUCUGGUGACUAUAGUGUCCCUUUAACCCCUUAAGGACCAAACUUCUGGAAUAAAAGGGAAUCAUGACAUGUCCUUAAGGGGUUAAAUAAAUAACUCCUAUGUGUUAAGAAUGUAAACUGAGAAUCCAGGAUUGAGAUUCCAGAAAUAUUUUCUCUAAUCUCUGGAACAACACUCUAUCACUUAUUUUCUUCUCUCAGCCCACAGUGAGGAAAUCAAAUAGUGUUUUUGCAACUUUUAGAGGCCUUUUCGUUCUCCUUAUUAUUUAGCUUAUUGUCUGUGGUUACCUGCAAGGGUAAUGACCCAUUGUGUGCUGCUUGUCUCAUUGUGUCUGUUAUCACCAGCUCUAUUUUAUCUCUGGUUUGGGUUUAGGCAAAAUCCACCACUGAAUGCAAUAUUCAUAUAGACAGGUCAAUAACCAAUAUGUGGUAUAUUCAUCAUUACCUACUAUGUGAACAACAGGUUAGACAUGUAAAAUUUGUUUCGUUCCGAAUGUAAAUUUGUACGGAUUUCGUGCUAUUCAAACAUUCAGAUGCUUACCAAUGUCCGAAGUGCCGAAGUCCCGAAGCGCCGAAGUGAUUCAGAUUUCUGAAAAGGGGCAAAACAAGAGAGAGGGAGGGAAAAUUACGUGAAUGAUGACAGGAAUCUUGACCAAUAAGCUAAUUCCUUUUGUGCAAUGUAAUGCUUGCUUGCUCAAUCCUGUUUCACUAUUCCCUGUCAAAGUAAAUGAGCAAUAGACAUGUGCAAUUAGUUCCGUUCCAAAUGUACAUUCAUACGAAUUUCAUGCCAUUCGGAUGCUUACGAAUGUCCGAAGUGCCGAAGUGCCGAAGUGAUGAGGUUCGGCAGUUGCGAAGUGCUUGAACCGAGCCAAAUGCCAUUGGCCUGAAUUGCUGAAGCAGACACAUUUUUUUACUUACCCGAAUUUCCGAAUUUUUUACCCAUGCACAUCCUUACAACAGGCCCCGAAAACUCAUCUUUACCUGAUACCAUAGGAUUCUGCUGUUUUAUUUUGAUGAACUUGUAAAAUUCAUUUAGUUUUGUAAAUCACCAUGAGUGUUAACAUAAAAUAAAAUGGGCCACCCAUUAUGAAAUUGGGCCACCCAUUAUGAAAUUCUGUCCUUAGCAUCUUCCUUUCUGUUCCCAGAUACUGGAUCUAGCUCGUCAGAGAAGUAAAAGGGUGAAAGUUGUGGGAGGUGGACACUCUCCUUCGAAUAUUGCCUGCUCUGAUGAUUUCAUGGUUCGAUUGGAUAAAAUGAACCGGAUUCUGAAGGUAGGUUAA
rnacentral:lncRNA from 1 species